rnacentral:tRNA from 1 species
UGAUAGCUCACUGGAAGAAUUCUCACUUUCCAUGUGAAAGACCUGGGUUCAAUUCCCAGUCA